CGAAGUGUUGCGACGUCUCUCUCUCUCGUUUUCGCUUUGUAUUUUUUAUGGUUUUUUUUUUCGGUUUUUUCUUGUUUUGCGUUUUGUGUUGCUUGGUCAUUCCCCAUUUUGUUGUGGUUUGUCCCACGCGCGCUCUUCGCCUCCCUUCCGCGGCGUGUUGAUCGGCUAACGCCGUCGCCGUGACGCCGCCGUCGCACGCACACGCACACACACACGCGCACGCGCACACGUAUAAGGGAAGAAACGCUUAACUUGUUCUUUGUGGGCGCUGCCUUUUUGAUUUUGCUUUAUAUGUUGUGGUUGCUAGUGCUCGCGUUCUGUCUUGUGGCGACUUUUUGUGUUUGUUGUGAAGACGCUCCUUGCUUGAUCACACGCUCCCCUCCCUCGUCCCUCUCGCUGGCUCCCUCUCUUUAUCCCCCGACGUCCGCGCGUGUUCGCCAGUGACGUCGUCUUCUAGGCACCCCUAAUCUUCGCCUUGGUUGUGGGCGAUUCAUUUUCGCUUUCCUCCUCUUCGUGUGCGUGCGUGGGUCCGCCUUCCACACGCGGUACACAAAGGCACUCGCACACGACGGAGCCGUGUACCCAAGCGCACACAUACUCGCACGCAAGGCAGGCCCCUCCCCCUCUCUCUGUACCAUCACUCUCUUUCUCCGUCCCACGAACCUGGACAUAAACACACACACGUGUGCACCAUCAGCUCCCAGCCCCCGAGCCCUCGGUCAGUGCCUCGUCCCUGUUCCCUUCACCUUCUCCUGCUGUGUGUCGCUGUAUCACCAGCAAGAAGAGGGCGAGCGGGUGGCAGAGUAGUAAGUAAAGUAGGCGGAGGCGCAGCGCUUCAACGACGGCCGCAUUCUCCCCACACCCUCCUCCCUCUUUCUCCUCUUCUUUGUAGUGCAUCCAAAGCAGACCAUACAGUGUCGUCUAUCCCAGCCCCAUCUGCGCACGCACGUAGGCCCUCGUACGGAAGCCGGCACAACACUCCCUCUGCCUUUCUUUUUUUUCUCGUCUCCCUCUCUCCCCCUUCUCCCGCCUCUCUCCCGCCUCCAACCUUUGUACGCACGCUCUCUCCUCUUGUCUUGCGAGUGUCUUCCUGUGUUUAGCGUAUCUUUUUUUUUUGGUUGUGGCGGUGGUGUCUACUGUUCGCCUUCCUCAACGCUCCUGUUCGCGUGUUUAGCUGCUGCUGCUGCUGCUGUUGCUUCCCGACUCGCACGCGCUAUCCCGCUCUCCGUCGGACUCUCCCUCUUUUCUUCUUCCACACACACACACAUAUAUAUACAGCUCUCCCUUCUUCGUUUCACGUCCCUCUUUUCGACGGAUUAGAUCUUAGACUCGAACGCACCGUCACGACAACUCCAGCCGCCGCCGCCGCUGCCCUCCUCCCUCUCAUAUCUCUCUCCCUCCCCUUCCUUCCCCUCCCCCGACCCUCGUGGGCCACACACGCGCAGACACACAGAGAGAGAAACCCUCCAACGUCUGCCGAAUCGGAUAUAAGGAAGAAAAGAAAGCAGCAGAGGAGCACACGUGUACGCGGCACGUCCGCUCCUGGUUGUCGUGGUUGUGGAGUCGUCUUCGCGUAGGCAGACGUGCACACGGGCAAAGGCAAACAUCCAGGCACUACCGCCGCGCUCGCUCGCUCCCUCUCGUGCGUCUCUCUCCUCUUUCGUUGGCAGAGCGCCACCAUCCCCCAUCACCCCUUCCCCCGAAAACAAAGAGGCCAGCAGGGCAGCGACAGAAGGCGGAGAGGGGCACGCACACACGCACGCCCACACACACACAACGCACGGGCAGAAAGAAGAACCGCGCGCGUCACAUUUUGUUUUUUUUUGUUUGUCUUGAUUGUUUCUGAGAGGCUCGCCUCGAGCGUCCCAUCAAGCGUGCUCCUCCUCAGAAAACAAUACGUCUGUCUGUGUUCUGUUCGCCGCGCACCCGCCUGCAGGCUCCGCCAGUACGUAUACCGCUCACCUGCUGCCUCCUCCCUCCUCCUUCUCCUCCUCCUCCUCUGACAUCUCUAUCUUUCUCGGUUUUUGUGUGCGCGCGCGCGUUUUCUUUAAAAGGAAACAAAAUCAUUUUUGUAUGCGCACACGGAAGUGCAACGCGUUGUUGUUGCUCUUGUUGUCAUCAUUGUGGUACACACACACACACCUCUUCAUCCCCCUCCCCCUCCCUUCUCUUGCUUGCUUCCUCUCCUUCAUUUUUUUGUUUGUUGUUUUUACUCGUAGUGCGUCACUUCUUCCUCCGAUCCCACCCACCCACUCCACCUCCUCCUUCCGAUUUUCUCGACGCUCUUUGGACUGAGUAGACUCUCUCCCUCUCUCUUACCCCCCCUCCUUCACUUUCAACAGCUCCUCACCGCUGCCAAUCAUGACGUCUGUUGCAGAAUCCGUGGCACCAGGGAGUGCACUCGCGGCACUCGACCUCGACCCCGACCUCGGGUCCGCAGCAGUGGCGACGGCGACGGAAGACGCACCUGCUACGGAGGCAGCUCCACCACCAGCACCUGCUACGGUUCGGAUUCACAUCCCAUAUCAAGUCGAGUCCGGUGCCCCGCACCAUUCCGACGUCUACCCGGCCUCAGCCGCAAAGACAAACGGCCACAGCAACGGGAGGUCGUCUGCAGGCGCGGCCGCUGCGACUUCAAGCGGAAAGAACGCCAGCAAUGGCGCCGCUGCGGCAUCCAAAGGCGCUUCGCCGUGGAAACCGCAGGGUCGAUCGUCCCCGGCUUCGCGACGCGUGGCCACUGAAUUGCAGGCCGCCCAUAAGCACUUCUCUGCCCCCUCACCCGCUACCCGAACUCUGUCGGCGCAGCUGGAGUCGCGCGUGCACUGGACGGCAGCUCCGGUGGAAAAGCCAAAGCUGUCGCGCCGGGUGCUCGUGGGUGCCGCAGGAGAUCUAACGGGCAACGGCAGCGCUAUGAAGAGCAGCUGUCCUCCGCGCCAGCGCCGCACCCGCUUUCUUGACCCCUCGACAUCUGCGGACGGUGCUGCAGAGACCACCAUGACCGCGCCUCAACGGCAGCGCAUGCAGCGGACGUCGCCAGCCCACCCGCCUGCUGCCAACGGUGCCUCCACCGUCGCUGGGCACGCGGCGUGGUAUAUGCACUCGAUCCCAAAGCACAUCCAGGCCAUCCACACCUCUCCGCGGGCCCCCGCUACGGCAGAAAGCGCCUCCAACCAGCCUCAUCAGCGCCACAGCGUGGUUGGUGCUGAAGCAGCAUCCGCCGCAUCCAAGAGCGCUGCGCUUGAACCAGUGCCUGUCUCCGCGUCCGCGUCUGCGUCUGCGACGGACGCGAGCUUCGAGCACUUGGCAUCUUCUCCCUCCCAUUCGUCCAUCACCAUCACCGUGGGUAGUCCACAGUCGCAACGCCCUGACGUCGCCCCCGCCGAGCAGUCAAAGGUGAGGGGCGACGGAGGCAACGGCGUUUCACGCGAAGUGGUCGAGGUCGCCACACCCUCGGUGCUGAUCCCAGCUUUCAAAACCGCCGACACAGCGGAAAACGCGAAGGCGUCGGCCGCCUCUGACGUGCUGCAGAAGGAAGCGAUCAUGACCGCCGAGAUACACCGCGACAAGCACAUCGUUAUCUCCCGCCCCUCUUCCAUCAUGCACGUGGCCCGCAUGACUGACCUAACGCGUCCGUCAGACGCGUACAAGGUGGCGCUCCACUCGUCACGCCCGUCCAACGCACUCGCCCGCCGCUCCCGCCAGCCGCGCAAGGUGCUGAACGUGUGCCUCACAAAGUACCCUCUCAUCCGUAAGAUUGCGGAAGAGAUGGGCUUCGAGAUGGAGACAACGGAAGACGAGCUGAACGAGUACAAGUUCAACCUCUGCUGGAGCGAUACAGUGCUGUCCCUCAUGAGGCUCGUGCGGCUGAGAAACUGGCAACGCACCAACCACUUCCCAUCCAUGUAUCUGCUCUGCCGCAAGGGGCACCUGAGCACGACGCUGGGGAAGAUGCGCCGCAAGCUGCCCUCGCACUUCGCCUACUACCCGCGCACGUGGUCGAUGCGGAGCGAGCGGAUGCAGUUCACGCAGUACAUGACAGCCGUCCGUCAGCGUCGCAUCCUCAAGUACUUCAUCUUGAAGCCGAACUCUGGCUGCCAGGGCCGCGGCAUCGUCGUGGCGCGCGAUCCGCUGACGGCGCUGGACGAGCACAUCCUCGACAACUACAUUGUGCAGGAGUACGUGCACCGCCCCCUGCUGCUGGAAGGCAAGAAGUUCGAUCUCCGUGUGUACGUGCUGCUCACCUCGAUUCGUCAUCCGUCCAUCUUUCUCUUCAACGACGGUCUCGUGCGCAUCUGCACAGAGCCGUAUGAGACCCCGAACGAGGAGAACGUGAAGCAAGCCUGCAAACACCUCACAAACUACGCCGUGAACAAGAAGAGCUCGGAAUUCGUCUUCAACACGAAUGUCGAGCACAUGGACGUCGGCAACAAGCGCAACUUCGGCUUCCUCAACCGCUGGCUCGCCGAGGGCGGCCACUCGCCGGACGUCUUCUGGAACGAGGUCGGCUUUAUCGUCGUCAAGACAAUCCUCGCGGCGCAGCCGAUCAUUGCCAAGGUGUACGACUCGUGCUUUCCCACCGGCUUCAACGAGGGCUACUGCUGCUUCGAGGUACUCGGCUUCGACAUCCUGAUCGACAAUAAGAUGAAGCCGUGGCUCAUGGAGGUCAAUCACACCCCGUCCUUCGCCACCGAGACACCGCUGGAUUACGAAAUCAAGAGCAAGCUGAUCUCGGAGGUAUGGAGCAUCAUCGACUGUAAGGCCACCGAUUACGAGAGGGACCGGCAGCGGGAGCGCGACGAGUUCGCGAAGCGCAAUAUGCCACCGUGGGCAAGCAACCACCCGCUCUACGGGAGCCAGCUCAAGAAGAAUACCUCGCGCGGCGCUGGCGCCGACAACUCGGACUCACCCGACCACAGCCCCGCGGCAACGGGCCGCGCGAACGCAGAGGAGGAGAUACCGCCCUACGUGCAUGCCCGCCGCGACUUUGAGGACACCAAGCUGAAGAAUUUCAAGCGCAUCUAUCCGUCUCCCAACUCAGAUGUGCAGCUCGUGUAUGACACGAUCCAGAGCCUGGCCACACUGGAGUCCGCUAAUAGCCGCCUCUACUACAACAGCACCGUCGCCGCGCCGGUGCCGGUGCCGAUGUCGUCGCCGCCGCCGUCGCCGGGCGUCCGCACGAGUUCCGCGCUGCCCUCCCGCGUUCGACCACCGUUGCUGGGUCCACUGCUGACAACCUCGCGUAACGGCAGCUCUAACGGUAGCCCCAGCACGGUCCUGCCGCCUCGCACGCCGGCCACAUUGAUGACGCCAAACACCACCUCUGCCGCGCAGGACUCUGGUGCCGCUGACACAACAACGCCCAUAGGCACAAUCCCUGCCGCACUCCUCGCCACCUCCGGCCAAACCGUCACAAGUCCCUCUGUUGCCGCGAACAACGCGUCGGCGCCCGCCGCCCCUUAUGUCGCGCCAACUCCCUUGACCGGUCGCGAGGGCCAGCCUGCCCCCGCCACUAUCUUCAAGCUAAUGGAGAAAGACAUACUGCGUCACCGUCGUCGCUCAUCGGACGCUCGCAGCGGUGCGGCGGCGCUGUCACACACGUCCACCACCCGCAGCAGCACCACACCGUCAGAGAGCGGCGGGACAGCGACCUCCACGCCGGCGGCCGCUAAGUCGCCUCAUCCGCUGCGCGUGCACACGCCGCAGCUCUCGCCCACCCACGUUAGAAAGAACUCGUUCGCCGAAAAGACGUCGUCCUCACCGCAGAAGGCGAGCGUCAAGGCAACAGCGGCAGAUGGCACGGCAGCGAACAGGGCGAAGCCGCGCGUUGCUGAGGUGCAUCGCCUCGUCACCGGGAGCUCACCCACAAUUAUAGCCAUGACAAUCAACGCUAUCCCGGCGAGCCCCUCGGCAAACGAUGGCACGCCGGCCUCGAACGCAACUGCGAUGCCGGCCAGCGAGGCCCUGCAGAUGAAGCCAAUGGAGACGGACAAGCCGGACGAUGAGGUGGCGUCGCUGUCUUGCACCGUUGCACCGCAUCCCGCGGCCAACGGUCCCAUCCAUAUCUCCAGCCGUCCUACCCCACGACAGAAGUUGCGGACGCCUUCACCGGUGACAACGCCGAACGGGGCUGGGCGACCGCGCGCGAACAGCCACGAGCUUUCUUCCAUGACGUGCAAGUCCGUCUCGCUGAGCGACAGCAUGCGUGACCUUGACCUUAGCGGCGAGGCGCACUCUGGCCGGAGGUCGCAAGACUGCGAGAUGCACUCUAUACUUCCGCACCAAGAGCCGACCGAGGAAGAGCUGGCGCGGCUGGCAACGCUGCAGGCGAUGCUGGACUACGAGGCCGCCGCCGACCCGCAGCCGGACGAUGACGAUGAUGACUACAACCUGACUGAGUGAGAGAGCGACAGAGGGCGUCUCUCCGUCUGCGUUCGUGCGCGUGCCCAGGCGAUCAUCACUGCAGGAUGAGUGACGAGGUUUAUUGGGAAAGCUUAACGGUGAUGCACACGCUCUCAGCAGAGUGCGUGUUCUUCUCUUUACGUCACGCGUGCUGCUGCCUAUUGUUGUGCUUCCGUAACUCUUUGCGUGGGCGUAUGCUGGUGCGGCGGUUCGAGUCGCAGCGAGCGACGCAGUAUCACUACGUGAGAAACCAGAGAGGAAGCAGGUAGUGCAGCACAGCGGGCAUAUCUGUGUGUACGGUGCUGCUGCUCCCUCUUUCUCCCGUCCUCGAUCACCACCACCCUUCCGCGCACAAACUUCUUUGUAUCAUUUAUUUUCGUUGUUCGCAGGAACGUGUCUGUCUUGCGUCUCUCUCUCUCGCCCCCGCCUCAGCUGCGGGAAACCCUGCACACACACACAUACACGCAGGGGAAAUUUGUGUGUUUAACAAUAACGGAUGGGCAGCGCUGCCACUUCUCCGCGUCGUUAACGUUCGUUCUCCCUCCACCACCUUUUUUUUUUUGCAUGGACAAGUCGCCUGUGCGCGCUUCUUUCUGUUGUUGGUCUCAUUUUCUUCUUUUGCCCUCCCUCCCCCUCACCCCUCAUUGUGUAGGUGUGUGUGUGUAUGUGUAGGUGGGUGGGUGGGUGGGUGCGGCGUGCGCGCUGGUGCGUCCUUUUUCUAUCUCGUAAUGUGUGCUUUCCUAUGCUAACUGCCUGUGUGCUUAUGUGUUUGUGUUGCCUUGUUUGGGGGAACCCAGUGGCCUGUGUGGCCCACGCACCUCCCCCACCUCGCCCCACCCCCGGCAUCGUGAACGAUAGCUGCCAGGAUAGUGGAAGUCCGGUGAUGAUUUCAGUGGUGAGGCGGACGAGCUCCAGGACUCUGCCGCUAUGUCGUUCAUGUCUCUGUGUGAUAUGAGGCUUCUUAUGUGGUUGUUGCUCUUUGUGGCUGUGAUGGGUGUGCGUGUGUGUGGACGGCACUGUGUCGCUCUACGUCCAUCUACUCCCAUCCACCUCACGGACAACGCCGAAGUGCGCUUCCAUGUGAGUGAGGGUGCGGUGGGGUGGAGAGGGGCCUACUGCCGUAGGUGUACAGUGGCGUGGCGAAGCUCCGAUGGCAGCCGCUGGCCCGCACCCCUCAUGAAAGCCGUGCCCGCCCAAGAACUCACGCAUGUGUAACGGGUACUUUUUUGCUGGCACGUGCACGUACGGGCACGCCUCCUCCCUCUUCGCCUUCCGCCUGCAGCUCUCUCGCUCCCUCUCUCGGUUUCGUGCUUUCCAUGCGCACACGACAAGCACGCUGUUCCCGUCAUUGCCGUCCUUUGUCAUGGCGUGUCGUGGUGGUGGUUUUGACGGCCUCGGCGGCGUCGGUGUCGCCCGUUGUGUGAUGCCUCUUUUAUGACACUGAUUUCCUUCUGUAAGCUAAACAGACG
rnacentral:misc_RNA from 1 species